rnacentral:rRNA from 1 species
UACAGAGACUGCAAGCGUUAUUCGGAUUCACUGGGCGUAAAGGGUGCGCAGGCGGCCGAGUGUGUGAGGCGUGAAAGCCCGGGGCUUAACCCCGGAAUUGCACCUCAAACUACACGGCUAGAGCAUUGGAGAGGGUAGCAGAAUUCAUGGUGUAGCAGUGAAAUGCGUAGAUAUCAUGAGGAACACCGGUGGCGAAGGCGGCCCUCUGGACGGUGACUGACGCUGAGACGCGAAAGCGUGGGGAGCAAACAGG